rnacentral:rRNA from 1 species
CAUUAACGAGAUGCGGGUCCUUCGGGGCCCGACCCUCCCACCCUUUGCGUAUAUACCACUGUUGCUUCGGCGGCCCUCGGGGUUGCGGUGCUGGCUUGCCCCGCACCGGUUCCCGACCCGCCAAGGGGCCACUUCUAUUCUGUAUUAUCCGUGGCGUCUGACUAAACAAGCAAAUAAAACUAAAACUUUCAACAACGGAUCUCUUGGUUCUGGCAUCGAUGAAGAACGCAGCGAAAUGCGAUAAGUAAUGUGAAUUGCAGAAUUCAGUGAAUCAUCGAAUCUUUGAACGCACAUUGCGCCCCCUGGUAUUCCGGGGGGCAUGCCUGUUCGAGCGUCAUUACACCUCUCAAGCUCGGCUUGGUAUUGGGUCGUCGUCCCCCGUGGAUGGGCCUGAAAAUCAGUGGCAGUGCACUCGGUGCUCAAGCGUUAUGAAUUUAUCCCGCUUUGGAGUUGCCGGGUGGACCCGCCAGAGAACCCCAUGAAUCUUUCGCUGGUGACCUCGAUC